rnacentral:rRNA from 1 species
UACGUAGGGUGCAAGCGUUAAUCGGAAUUACUGGGCGUAAAGCGUGCGCAGGCGGUUGUGCAAGUCAGAUGUGAAAUCCCCGGGCUCAACCUGGGAAUUGCAUUUGUGACUGCACGGCUAGAGUGUGUCAGAGGGGGGUAGAAUUCCACGUGUAGCAGUGAAAUGCGUAGAGAUGUGGAGGAAUACCGAUGGCGAAGGCAGCCCCCUGGGAUAACACUGGCGCUCAUGCACGAAAGCGUGGGGAGCAAACAGG